rnacentral:tRNA from 3 species
UUAAUUGAAGCUAAAAUAGAAGCAAUUUAUUGUUAAUAAAUUUAUUGAAUUUAAAUUCCAAUUAAA